CAUAACGGGUUAUAACUUCCCGAACCCGUUAAAAUAACUAGGAAUAAUUAACCUAGUUAGGUGAUGACUUGUGUGUAGUUAAAGAUCUAAAAAUAAACUAAGAGAAACUAGAGGGACCAAAAGUGUUUAACUUGAAACUAGUUUUAAUAAAAACAUUUUAUUAAAACACAAACACUCCAUUUGGAGUCUUCUGGAGAUCGACCAGAGCAAGGAGGGGCGACCCAGAUUUCUCAAACCCUAAGUUCAUGCUAUUUGAUCAAUUGAAGGCAAAUUUCAGUCCCAAAUCAAAUUCCGAGCAUAGAUUAAUGAUCCCCAUCGCAAGGAGAUCAUAAGUUUGACUCUUGACAAGCUAGAUGGAGGCUUGGGAAUGAAGCGGGUCAAACGGAGCAAGUACGAAAAGGAAAGCGUAAUUUGGAUGCGAGGUAAGUAAAACUUACACCCUUUAUGUUGGACACGUAUUUAUUUUAUAAACUAUAAAUGAGAACGAUGUAACAUCCAAAAUAAGGGUUCCGACACGAUUGACACAAGUCGGAACAAGUAUAAAUGAUAAAAACCAUGGCUUAUGGUAAACGGGGCGAAUGGGUGAAUUUGGAAAUUUAAAACCAUGCUUUUAUUCUAAUUUAUGUAAAGGUUUGGUCUUAUAAUCCAAACGGGUCAAAUGGUGAUGAUAACACCAUUUGACAAUAUUGACUAAUGUGAUUGUCAAGUUGUAUGUUAUCAGGAACGAUUAGCAAUUUGAAUAAUUGUGACGCCGUAGAAUAUUGGUUAAUUUAACGCGAGGUAUAUAACGGAUCUAUAGGUUGGCUCGAGCCAGAUACGCAUAUAUAUAGAUUUUAUAGUUAAAAAUGCAAUGUUGGUCAAAUAUCUUAGUAAAAGGACCUAUGUCGUAAAAUGAGGAAAUAAGUUGACGAAAGUGCCCUUGAUAGGUAAAUCGGGCAAGCGACCCUUAGAGGUCGUUUAGAUACUGGUAUUAUCAUCAUGUAACUCUUAGACACAUGUAAGAGUUGUAGGCAUCAAAUUUGGGGGUCAAAUGCCUAUGAACGGGAUAAUCACGUAAGAUGACUAUCCUAAGGGUAAAAAGUAGGAAUGUGAUUCGUUAUGUUAUAUCCACCACAAAAAAAAAUUAGUUGUGGUGGAACAUAAGAGGCUAUUUAAAAGUGAGAAGACGAAGUGUAGAAAAGAGAGAGAUAGUUUGAUGCUUGAGUGUACAUAAUUCGCUCUAAACGGGUCAAAAUGAAUUACGCGCGUAGCUUGGGUGUUUGCCACGUGAUUCAUAAAACUUAUGAAUCCAAGAUAGAUAUUUUUAGUUAAAUACCUUGGUCUAAGAACUUUGAUUAACUAGAAUCAAGUUUGGGAGGUCUUAAAUACAAACGGGUCAAACGUUAAUUUUGAACAUUAAGCCGAAUACUUAGAAAUCCAGAAUUUUAUUAGUUUGAAUGUUGGAUUUUAACUCUAUAAGGUGGAGAAUCAAAUUACAAUUACGUAGGAAAAAACGGUACGUCAAACGGAUGAGCGGAUUGAAAGAUACGAAAGGUUUCGUGUCAAAAAUGGCAAAAUGGGAGUUCUGAUACAGGGGCCACCGUAACUUACGGUGCCCACCGUAAGUUACGGUGGGGCUGGAAUCGUUACGGUGAUUGCCUCCUGUGUUACGGGGGAAAAUUUUUAAUUCAGGGGCCACCGUAACUUACGGUGUCCACCGUAAGUUACGGUGGAGGCCAGAUUCAAGUAUUUGUUUUUGGAACAAGAUAUCAAUGUUGGAUUUUCCUAAUUUUCCUUGUUGUAUUAGUUAUUUAAUUAUCAAAACUGACUUUUAAGUUGGUUUUGAUCUCAGGUGAAUGUCGAGGGUCCUGGAUGAAGAUCAAGCAUCGAGCAAGAACCGAACACACGUUAAACAAAGCUUCCGCAAUGUUGUUUCGCCGUUAUUCUAAAACGGCGAAUUAAACCACAAUAGGUGGUAUCACUUUAAAUUGUAAAAGUUUUUAACAAACCCGUAUUUUCAGUAUAAUUGUGACUAUAAGUACAUGAUUAUUAGUUUAAAUUAUACGAUAAACGCUAAAUAAUAACAAGGGUGUUACAAGUUGGUUAUCAGAGCUCAAGGUUAAAAGAAUAAAGUGUUCGGUUCGAGGCUUGAUCGCAAAUCCGUUGAAGGACACUUGAAGAUAGCGAGGGUUGAACAAAUUACGGAUAUGAUAGAGGAAUGGUCCGAAGUAUGACAAGUGGAGCAUGCUCACCAAGGUCUAAAUCGCGUAACGACCGCGAACAAGGUUAUUGGCAAGGAACGCCCGUCGGGGCAAACAUUACCAGGUGCACGCUUUUAAAUGUAAAUGCACAAAUAGCAAUAUGCAACAAACAUGUAGGGAAUGAUUGUUGCAUAUGUAAAUUAGAAACUUGGAAAACCGAAUAGAAAAUGUAUUCGGGAUAGUGUUUCCAAGAGAAACAAAUAGAGGCAUUACUUACAUAGGGCGUGAUGUGAAAACUAUAAAAAGGUCAUGUGUUUCAUGUGUUAAUCGCUUACUCUGGCCAAGUAAGUAGUGGCAUAUGAUACCGUGAACUUCUUAUAGCGGACACAUUUAUGUCCGAUGUAGUAAGGGUGGGGUGAAUGAGACUAACUUAAAUGGUACCCAAAUGAAUCAAAUAAGUAAGAUGUUUGAUAAUAAACGUAAGUCGGAUGACGGAAGCGUAUUACGUAAAAAAAAAAACGAGCCCGAGAGAAGGGACAAGGAUCAAGUAAAAAGAAAAUACAAACCGACUAACAGGAAUGCUAAGGCAUAGGGAUAAAAGUUUGACUGUCACAAGUAAUGAAAUUCACACGGGCAAGUCAAACGAAUUGAAUAAAGAAUAAAGGACUUGAUGGAAUAAAAGCGAUUAAUCUCGCUAAGACGACCAAAUAAAUUAAAAUAACGUCUAAAACCAUAUAAGAAUGGUUACCUGGAAAUGAUUACGGUAAAGAUACCCGAUGAAUGAGUAGGAUUCGAAAAGAAUGCGUAAACCAAGAGACGGGAACGCAAGAUAGAAAGUCAAAAGACUCGGAAUAUGAGUCAUGACUAAAAGACAAUGAGAAAUUGCAAACAAAAAUGUUAAUAACUACGCUCAACUAUUUUAAAGUUGAACGGGUCGAAUAAAGAAUGGAGUUUGAUGUUCACAAGUGAUGAAAUUUCACACGAACAAGUCAAACGAGAAAAAUAAGGUAUCAAAACUUGGUAAUGCAAGUAAGCGCAGACUGAAUAAUGGAAGCGCGAAACAUUAAUGAACCUACGUGAUGGGUCAUAAAGGAGUAUAUAUAGGAAAAACGCAAACUAGCGAAACAAAAAUGUUAAAAAAAAAAAACACUAAGAUAAAGAACCCGGGUAAUGGGUCGUAAAGAAGUAUAGGUAAGAACCGAAUAACGGUAAGUGUAGGGUAAACUGACGAGUAAUUGACGUUAGAAGUCAAGAAGUCGGAAAGAUAAUUCGAAAGAAAACAAUGUAGCCUUAGACUACGGUCAAGGUCAAACGAAAUCCAAAAAAAAAAAAGUAAAGGUGAAUAAUUCUAAACAUAAAAAGGGGUGCCUUAUAUGUGUAUAUAAACACAUACACAUUUGAAUAAAGACUCGAAUAAAAGAUGAUCUACGGGGUCAUCAUAACCUACGGGAUAUUAAUUAGUGUAAGGGUCUACGAGGCCAAUAUGACCCACGAGUCAUGAAGUGAAGCAAAGGGAUCAUAAGGGCCUCGCCUUAAAGAGGUGAGAGCUUAAGGAAAUAGCCUACGAGGUUAAGUAAAGGAACCUACGGGUCAAUAGUGUAAGGUGAGGGAACUUGUUACGAUUCCCUUCAUAAAACUAAGACUGUAAAAGAAUAAAUUAUGGACUGUCAAUAUCCAUAAUCCUGACAAAAGUCAAAGAGAAGAUCCUAAAACUAAAACUUUGGUUUUAGUAAGAAAUAACGUUUUUACAAAUAUAAAUUCUGAUAGGAAUUUAAAUAGUAAGCAUGAAGGAUACAAGUCUUGACGCUAAUAGGCGCAAGACGAUAUAUUCGAAAAUAAAAAGGGUGAUAUAAAUUAAACAUGAUAUGACACGAUCACGGUUAAGAAAUGUACUGUGAAGUAGAAUCACAUUACAACCAAGCGAGUGGUAAAAAGUAACUGGACUAAUAAGUCUAGCUAGUAAGACCGGUUAAGGUCAUCAAUUCAAAUCAAGAAUAUUAGUUUGCUUGUAAGCGGUGGAUUCGGUAUAACUAAACCGAAUAAAUAAAUUUGAAAACAAAAGAAAUAGCAGCUAAAAGUGAAAGAUUUCACUAGAGACUUUUAAAUGGGUCAAAGUAACGGAUUCAUAAAGAAUUCGAUAGUAUAUGAAAGCGAUGGAUAUCGCUAAGUUAACUAAACUAGUGGAAAUAACGGGAUUACGUUAUUUCAAAGUUCCACUAUGUCGUAUGAGAUAUGUAGACAAUUAGUAACCAAAAAGAUGUUACCAUACUUUUCGGGUAAUACUAACGAUUGGUUAAAAGUAUAAGUAAUGUUUAAAAGAUUUCUCGGAUCGAAUACAUUGAGUUUAAACUCAAUGAAUUAUGUAAGAAAAGGUUUCGAGGACGAAACCUCUUUAAGGGGGGUAGACUUGUAACACCCCGAAAACGGGUUUGGUAAUCAAACCACGUUAAUACUAAAGGACGGGUAAAAUACCGUUAGUGGUAAAAUUUAACCCGGUAAAUAUUAGGACUUAAAUAAAUAAACCUAAUAUUAAUUAAUUAGGAAAAAUAAAUACUUUGAGAAAACAAAGUAUAUAAAAAAAAAGAAAGCCCAAGAUAACGAGACAUAAAACAUAACGGGUUAUAACUUCCCGAACCCGUUAAAAUAACUAGGAAUAAUUAACCUAGUUAGGUGAUGACUUGUGUGUAGUUAAAGAUCUAAAAAUAAACUAAGAGAAACUAGAGGGACCAAAAGUGUUUAACUUGAAACUAGUUUUAAUAAAAACAUUUUAUUAAAACACAAACACUCCAUUUGGAGUCUUCUGGAGAUCGACCAGAGCAAGGAGGGGCGACCCAGAUUUCUCAAACCCUAAGUUCAUGCUAUUUGAUCAAUUGAAGGCAAAUUUCAGUCCCAAAUCAAAUUCCGAGCAUAGAUUAAUGAUCCCCAUCGCAAGGAGAUCAUAAGUUUGACUCUUGACAAGCUAGAUGGAGGCUUGGGAAUGAAGCGGGUCAAACGGAGCAAGUACGAAAAGGAAAGCGUAAUUUGGAUGCGAGGUAAGUAAAACUUACACCCUUUAUGUUGGACACGUAUUUAUUUUAUAAACUAUAAAUGAGAACGAUGUAACAUCCAAAAUAAGGGUUCCGACACGAUUGACACAAGUCGGAACAAGUAUAAAUGAUAAAAACCAUGGCUUAUGGUAAACGGGGCGAAUGGGUGAAUUUGGAAAUUUAAAACCAUGCUUUUAUUCUAAUUUAUGUAAAGGUUUGGUCUUAUAAUCCAAACGGGUCAAAUGGUGAUGAUAACACCAUUUGACAAUAUUGACUAAUGUGAUUGUCAAGUUGUAUGUUAUCAGGAACGAUUAGCAAUUUGAAUAAUUGUGACGCCGUAGAAUAUUGGUUAAUUUAACGCGAGGUAUAUAACGGAUCUAUAGGUUGGCUCGAGCCAGGUACGCAUAUAUAUAGAUUUUAUAGUUAAAAAUGCAAUGUUGGUCAAAUAUCUUAGUAAAAGGACCUAUGUCGUAAAAUGAGGAAAUAAGUUGACGAAAGUGCCCUUGAUAGGUAAAUCGGGCAAGCGACCCUUAGAGGUCGUUUAGAUACAGGUAUUAUCAUCAUGUAACUCUUAGACACAUGUAAGAGUUGUAGGCAUCAAAUUUGGGGGUCAAAUGCCUAUGAACGGGAUAAUCACGUAAGAUGACUAUCCUAAGGGUAAAAAGUAGGAAUGUGAUUCGUUAUAUUAUAUCCACCACAAAAAAAAAAUUAGUUGUGGUGGAACAUAAGAGGCUAUUUAAAAGUGAGAAGACGAAGUGUAGAAAAGAGAGAGAUAGUUUGAUGCUUGAAUGUACAUAAUUCGCUCUAAACGGGUCAAAAUGAAUUACGCGCGUAGCUUGGGUGUUUGCCACGUGAUUCAUAAAACUUAUGAAUCCAAGAUAGAUAUUUUUAGUUAAAUACCUUGGUCUAAGAACUUUGAUUAACUAGAAUCAAGUUUGGGAGGUCUUAAAUACAAACGGGUCAAAUGUUAAUUUUGAACAUUAAGCCGAAUACUUAGAAAUCCAGAAUUUUAUUAGUUUGAAUGUUGGAUUUUAACUCCAUAAGGUGGAGAAUCAAAUUACAAUUAUGUAGGAAGAAACGGUACGUCAAACGGAUGAGCGGAUUGAAAGAUACGAAAGGUUUCGUGUCAAAAAUGGCAAAAUGGGAGUUCUGAUACAGGGGCCACCGUAACUUACGGUGCCCACCGUAAGUUACGGUGGGGCUGGAAUCGUUACGGUGAUUGCCUCCUGUGUUACGGGGGAAAAUUUUUAAUUCAGGGGCCACCGUAACUUACGGUGUCCACUGUAAGUUACGGUGGAGGCCAGAUUCAAGUAUUUGUUUUUGGAACAAGAUAUCAAUGUUGGAUUUUCCUAAUUUUCCUUGUUGUAUUAGUUAUUUAAUUAUCAAAACUGACUUUUAAGUUGGUUUUGAUCUCAGGUGAAUGUCGAGGGUCCUGGAUGAAGAUCAAGCAUCGAGCAAGAACCGAACACACGUUAAACAAAGCUUCCGCAAUGUUGUUUCGCCGUUAUUCUAAAACGGCGAAUUAAACCACAAUAGGUGGUAUCACUUUAAAUUGUAAAAGUUUUUAACAAACCCGUAUUUUCAGUAUAAUUGUGACUAUAAGUACAUGAUUAUUAGUUUAAA